rnacentral:rRNA from 1 species
UACAGAGGGUGCGAGCGUUGAUCGGAAUUACUGGGCGUAAAGCGUGCGUAGGCGGUUUGUUAAGUCCGUUGUGAAAGCCCUGGGCUCAACCUGGGAAUUGCAGUGGAUACUGGCGAGCUAGAGUGCGGUAGAGGAUGGUGGAAUUCCCGGUGUAGCGGUGAAAUGCGUAGAGAUCGGGAGGAACACCCGUGGCGAAGGCGGCCAUCUGGACCAGCACUGACGCUGAGGCACGAAAGCGUGGGGAGCAAACAGG